UACGUAGGGGGCGAGCGUUGUUCGGAAUUACUGGGCGUAACGGGCGCGUAGGCGGCCUUCUAAGUCGGACGUGAAAUCCCUGGGCUCAACCCAGGAACUGCGUCCGAUACUGGGAGGCUUGAAUCCGGGAGAGGGAUGCGGAAUUCCAGGUGUAGCGGUGAAAUGCGUAGAUAUCUGGAGGAAUACCGGUGGCGAAGGCGGCAUCCUGGACCGACAUUGACGCUGAGGAGCGAAAGCUAGGGGAGCAAACGGG
rnacentral:rRNA from 1 species